rnacentral:tRNA from 1 species
UCACUGGUGGCUUGGUGGUAAAGAAUCUGCCUGCAGUGCAGGAGACUCAGGUUCGAUCCCUGAGUGAG